rnacentral:lncRNA from 1 species
CGGGUCUUCGCUUCGCGGACUCGUCUGCUUGUUGAGUCUCCGGUGCCUCACCCACAGCGCCGAAGCCUAGUUUCUAGUCUCGCCUACGCUCGGUGCCCCCGUUGAGCUUCCUCGUUCCUAAGACGUGCGCCCAGCACAGCUCAAACUAGACUCCGAGCCUAAGGUACCCUGCUGUGAAACUCUUCCUCUUUUCCCUUCUUAGUCACCUAACAUUCUGUGACGUUGGCCUCGAUGUCAUGACGUCUCCUUCACAAUGACCACGACGUCGGUGUAGGCGUCGAUGAUGUCUUCUUUAAUGUCUAUGGUGUCAACCUCGACGAUGGUGACUUUUUCUCAUUAACCUCGGCACCAGCCUCGACGUUAGUGACGUCCUUCUCAAUAACUACGACGCUAGCCUCAACGUCGAUGAUGUUGCUCUCAAUAACCUCGCUGCUAACCUCCACGUUGGUGUCAACCUUGAUGUCGGUGACGUUUUUCUCAAUAAUCUCGGUGUCAACCUCGACGUCGGCGCCAACCUCGAUGUCGAUGACUUCUUUUGCAGUAACCUCGGUGCUAACUCGACGUCGGUGUCAACCUCAACAUCGGUGACGGCUUUCUCAAUAACCUCGGUGUCGAGCUCGACGUCGUGUGACGUCUUUCUCAAUAACCUCGACGUCGGCAACGUCUUUCCCAAUAACCUCAGUGUCGACCUCGAUGUUGGUGUCUUGUCGUCGGCCCUUAGGGUCAAUCUCGACGUUGGCGUAGGCGUUUUUCUCAACAAUCUCACCUCAGCGCCGAUCUCGACCUCGAUGUCGGUGUCGACCUCGACGUCGAUGACGUCUUUCUCAAUGCCUUUAGUGCCAAUCUCCAUGCCGGUGUUCACUUCGACGAGGGCGUCAACCUCAGAUCGGCGUAGGCGUCUAUUUUAAUGAAGGCAAGGGCGUCUCAACGUCGGCGUAGGUGUCCACUUCGAUGAGGGCGCCUCGACGUCGACUUCUCGUCGUCUCUCUCGUCGAGGGUGCCUCUACGUCGGUGUCAAUUUCGACAAGGGUACCUCGAUGUCGGAGUCCAUUUCAACGAGGGCGCCUUGACGUUGGCGUCCAUUUUGACUAGGGCGCCUCGACGUCGGCUUCGACAAGGGUGCCUUGACGUCAGUGUCCAUUUCGACGAGGGCGCCUCAACUUUUGCUUGGCGUCGGCAUCCCUCUCGACGAGGGCGCCUCGACGUCGGCUUGGACAAGGGUGCCUCAACUUCGGUGUCCAUUUCGAUGAGGGGGCCUAGAUGUCAGCUUGGUGUCGGCGUCCCUCUCGACGAGGGCGACUAGACGUCAGAGUCCAUUUCGAUGAGGGCACCUCUACGUCGGCGUAGGUGUCCACUUCGACAAGGGCGCCUCCACGUCGGCUUCGACAAGAGUGCCUCGACUUCGGUGUCCAUUUCGACGAGGGCGCCUCGACGUCAGCUUGGCGUCGGCAUCCUUCUCAACGAGGGCGCCUCGACGUCAGCGUCCAUUUCGACGAAGGCCACUCGACGUCAGCUUCGACAAGGGUGCCUCGACGUCGGUGUCCUCGUAAUCUCCUCAGCAUCAAUCUUAACGUUAGCCUAGGUGAUGACGACGAC